UGCUGACGAGCGGCGGACGGGUGAGUAAUGCUUGGGAACAUGCCUUGAGGUGGGGGACAACAGUUGGAAACGACUGCUAAUACCGCAUAAUGUCUACGGACCAAAGGGGGCUUCGGCUCUCGCCUUUAGAUUGGCCCAAGUGGGAUUAGCUAGUUGGUGAGGUAAUGGCUCACCAAGGCGACGAUCCCUAGCUGGUUUGAGAGGAUGAUCAGCCACACUGGGACUGAGACACGGCCCAGACUCCUACGGGAGGCAGCAGUGGGGAAUAUUGCACAAUGGGCGCAAGCCUGAUGCAGCCAUGCCGCGUGUGUGAAGAAGGCCUUCGGGUUGUAAAGCACUUUCAGUCAGGAGGAAAGGGUGGUGGUUAAUACCCAUCAUGUGUGACGUUACUGACAGAAGAAGCACCGGCUAACUCCGUGCCAGCAGCCGCGGUAAUACGGAGGGUGCGAGCGUUAAUCGGAAUUACUGGGCGUAAAGCGUACGCAGGCGGUUUGUUAAGCGAGAUGUGAAAGCCCCGGGCUCAACCUGGGAACUGCAUUUCGAACUGGCAAACUAGAGUGUGAUAGAGGGUGGUAGAAUUUCAGGUGUAGCGGUGAAAUGCGUAGAGAUCUGAAGGAAUACCGAUGGCGAAGGCAGCCACCUGGGUCAACACUGACGCUCAUGUACGAAAGCGUGGGGAGCAAACGGGAUUAGAUACCCCGGUAGUCCACGCCGUAAACGAUGUCUACUAGAAGCUCGGAGCCUCGGUUCUGUUUUUCAAAGCUAACGCAUUAAGUAGACCGCCUGGGGAGUACGGCCGCAAGGUUAAAACUCAAAUGAAUUGACGGGGGCCCGCACAAGCGGUGGAGCAUGUGGUUUAAUUCGAUGCAACGCGAAGAACCUUACCUACACUUGACAUACAGAGAACUUACCAGAGAUGGUUUGGUGCCUUCGGGAACUCUGAUACAGGUG
rnacentral:rRNA from 1 species